AGAGGAGCUCCUGAGCGGUUUCCCCGAACGGCGGCGGCGCACUCGCGUUGGGGUGAACUCCGCCGGGCCUACAGGUGAUACAGGAUUAACGCACAGCUCUUCCGCCCCACACCAGGUCGCGGGAUCCACACACUGCUCUCCGGGAAGGACGGUGCAAGAAAAGCAGGUUUGUGGGUCACCGUCAGAGCUCCCCGUCCCUCCCCCUCCC